GAUGAACGCUGGCGGCGUGCCUAAUACAUGCAAGUCGAGCGAACAGACGAGGAGCUUGCUCCUUCGACGUUAGCGGCGGACGGGUGAGUAACACGUAGGUAACCUACCUAUAAGACUGGGAUAACUUCGGGAAACCGGAGCUAGUACCGGAUAAUAUUUCGAACCGCAUGGUUCGAUAGUGAAAGAUGGCUUUGCUAUCACUUAUAGAUGGACCUGCGCCGUAUUAGCUAGUUGGUAAGGUAACGGCUUACCAAGGCAACGAUACGUAGCCGACCUGAGAGGGUGAUCGGCCACACUGGAACUGAGACACGGUCCAGACUCCUACGGGAGGCAGCAGUAGGGAAUCUUCCGCAAAGGGCGAAAGCCUGACGGAGCAACGCCGCGUGAGUGAUGAAGGUCUUCGGAUCGUAAAACUCUGUUAUUAGGGAAGAACAAACGUGUAAGUAACUGUGCACGUCUUGACGGUACCUAAUCAGAAAGCCACGGCUAACUACGUG
rnacentral:rRNA from 1 species